rnacentral:rRNA from 1 species
ACCAGACUCCUACGGGAGGCAGCAGUCGGGAAUAUUGCGCAAUGGAGGAAACUCUGACGCAGUGACGCCGCGUAUAGGAAGAAGGUUUUCGGAUUGUAAACUAUUGUCGUGAGGGAAGAAAUUGACAGUACCUCAGGAGGAAGCUCCGGCUAACUAUGUGCCAGCAGCCGCGGUAAUACAUAGGGAGCAAGCGUUAUCCGGAUUUAUUGGGUUUAAAGGGUGCGUAGGCGGAGUGUCAAGUCAGCGGUAAAAUUUCGGGGCUCAACCCCGUCGUGCCGUUGAAACUGACGCCCUUGAGUGAGUGAGAAGUAAGCGGAAUGCGUGGUGUAGCGGUGAAAUGCAUAGAUAUCACGCAGAACUCCGAUUGCGAAGGCAGCAUACCGGCGCCCAACUGACGCUGAAGCACGAAAGCGUGGGUAUCGAACAGGAUUAGAUACCCGUGUAAA